CCUGGAACUCAUUAUGUAGACCAGGCUGGCCUUGAAUCACAGAGAUCUGCCUGCCUCUGCUUUCUGAGUGC
rnacentral:miRNA from 1 species